GCAGUUAUUAUCCAGAAACCAUAAAUGGCGACUGGAUGAAGGACGAAACUAUUGUACAGGCUGUAAUGGCCCCUGACCAGCCUAGAGAAGCCAUUUGUGAAAUGAGCACUUGAUGGAUACGGUGGAGCUGCAGCUGUGGUACGUGGGAGACAAGCUUCGUCAUCGUGUGGAACGAUGCAAGGGAUGUUACCAUUCUAUACUCAUCAUAGAAAAAACUAUUGCAAUAGCCACCCCCACAGGUGAAGAAUGAGAAAAGACUUUUACUCUUAUUGACCCAGAACUUCUACAGCACAUUCAUACCAACUUUCUACAAGUUACAAGACUUCAUCGACAAUUCCAGUGCCAGACAAAUUGAAAACUGUCUGAGUCGUAGCCAGGAGUUUUAUGGAUUCAACUGUCCAGGACCAAACGAUAUAAUAAUAGAAUAUUUUUUAUUUGUCUGACCUUUGACUGAUUAAUGAAAUAAACAACUCAUGAAAUCGGAAAAUUUGUUAUCUGUUAGUUUCAUAAAUAAUAUUGAGUCAAAUGAAUUUUAUAAAGUUUCUGGUCACAGCAAACUAUCAACAGAAGCUUCCUCGGACAGAUGUAAAUAUAAACCUUUUUUAGAAUUACUAUUUAAUUUUUAUUUUGACUCAGCCAAGAUAAUUAUACAGUAAUAUACUGUAAAUCAUGAAAUUAAUGAAAUUAAUAUGAAAAAUGUGAAUGUCUUGCUCACAUUACUAAAGUGACAUAAUUUUAUCACAGCAUAUUGGAGUUUAUAGUCAUGUCAGGUUCACUACACAUGGGCCGAAACACUGACAUACAUAAAGCUCACACGUUGCAAAGUAAGGGCGAGAUUCCAUGUGUCAAGUUCAUCAAGCAGUCAUUAUAGUCGCCUACCUUCUACCCAGUGUUGUGCAUAACUUUUUAAAAUGGUGUACAUUAUAUAAUUUUGAUGUCCAAGGUCUGUGAAGAAAUGAGA